rnacentral:rRNA from 1 species
CGCGGCCUAUCAGCUUGUUGGUGGGGUAAUGGCCUACCAAGGCGACGACGGGUAGCCGGCCUGAGAGGGUGACCGGCCACACUGGGACUGAGAUACGGCCCAGACUCCUACGGGAGGCAGCAGUGGGGAAUAUUGCACAAUGGGCGCAAGCCUGAUGCAGCGACGCCGCGUGAGGGAUGACGGCCUUCGGGUUGUAAACCUCUUUCAGCACAGACGAAGCGCAAGUGACGGUAUGUGCAGAAGAAGGACCGGCCAACUACGUGCCAGCAGCCGCGGUAAUACGUAGGGUCCGAGCGUUGUCCGGAAUUACUGGGCGUAAAGAGCUCGUAGGUGGUUUGUCGCGUUGUUCGUGAAAACUCACAGCUUAACUGUGGGCGUGCGGGCGAUACGGGCAGACUUGAGUACUGCAGGGGAGACUGGAAUUCCUGGUGUAGCGGUGGAAUGCGCAGAUAUCAGGAGGAACACCGGUGGCGAAGGCGGGUCUCUGGGCAGUAACUGACGCUGAGGAGCGAAAGCGUGGGGAGCGAGCAGGAUUAGAUACCCUGGUAGUCCACGCCGUAAACGGUGGGUACUAGGUGUGGGUUUCCUUCCUUGGGAUCCGUGCCGUAGCUAACGCAUUAAGUACCCCGCCUGGGGAGUACGG